AUGGGGCUCCCCCACGCCGGCGUCCUGAUCUUUGGUCUUCUGUCCGUGUUCCAACUGUCGCAUUCGUCAUCAGACAAGGACGACUUCACCAAGGUCAGGGCGGUGAACCUGGGAGGCUGGCUGGUGGUGGAGGGGUGGAUCAAGCCUUCCUUGUUUGAUGGCAUCCCAAAUGGGGACAUGCUGGAUGGCGUGCAGGUGCAGCUCAAGUCUGUUGCUCUCCAGAAGUACGUGAGUGCAGUUGGUGGUGGCGGUGGAAAUGUGGCCGUGGACCAGGAUGCUGCUUCGACAUGGGAGACUUUCAAGCUGUGGAGAGUUUCUGAUAGUGAAUUUCAGUUCCGAUGCCUCAAUGGUCAGUUCUUGACAGCAAGUAAUCAGGAUGUGAUCUCAGCAACUACAGAUUCACCAGGAGACUCCGAAACAUUUUAUAUCGAACGGAAUAAUUCAAUGCUUCAUAUCAAGCUUUCAAAUGGGAGCUAUUUGCAGGUCACAAAUAACAAUCAGCUUACUUCAAAUUAUCAUUCCCAGCCUGGAUGGGGUGAUGAUAUGGCAACAUUCCAGAUGACAAUAGCUGCCAACAACUUGCAUGGAGAUUACCAGCUUGCUAAUGGGUAUGGACCUGUGCAGGCAAAAGCGGUCUUGACUGAACACCGAAAGAGCUUUGUUACUGGAAAUGAUUUCUUUCUCCUCUCGCAAAACAGUAUAAAUGCAGUCAGGAUUCCAGUUGGAUGGUGGAUUGCGUAUGAUCCUGAUCCACCCGCUCCAUUUAUUGGUGGCUCCCUUGAGUACCUUGAUAGAGCAUUCUACUGGGCACAGGUUUAUGGCUUGAAGUGCAUCAUCGAUCUUCAUGCGGCUCCUGGAUCUCAAAACGGAAUGGAGCACAGUGCUAGCAGGGAUGGUUCAGUAGAUUGGCCUUCAGAGGUUAAUAUACAGAAGACUCUGGAUGUCAUUAAAUUUUUAGCUCAAAGGUAUGCAGACGAUCCCUCGCUUCUUGGUAUCGAGCUUCUGAAUGAGCCUUCUGCAGGAGCAGUCCCACUGGAUACUCUUGUGGCGUAUUACAAAAAAGGCUACAAAAUUGUACGAAGUUAUUCGGAGACAGCUUAUGUUAUAUUCUGCCAGAGGAUAGGGAAUGCAGACCCAAUGGAGCUUUAUCAGGCUGACCUGGGACCAACUAACACUGUUGUUGAUUUGCAUUACUACAAUUUGUUUGAUCCUUAUUAUGAGAAGCUUAACGCAACAGAGAACAUACAGUUUGUUUAUGAAAAAAGACUGCCUCAAGUGCGGGCCUUGAACGGCGCAAAUGGACCUCUUGUUUUUGUCGGAGAGUGGGUGAAUGAAUGGAAUGUGGCAAAUGCUUCACAAAUUCAAUACCGAUCUUUUGGAAAAGCUCAAUUGGAGGUCUUUGGAGAAGCCUCCUUUGGCUGGUCUUAUUGGACAGUCAGGUGCAACAGUGUGCACUGGGAUUAUGAAUGGAACGUAAGGAAUCGGUAUCUUAUUAUUGGGGGGUCGCCAUUGCAAAGAGCAAGUUACACGAUGCUUGUGGCAGGAUGUCUUAUGUAUCUUUUGUUAUUGACGUUGAUACAAUAA
rnacentral:rRNA from 1 species